UACGUAGGGGGCAAGCGUUGUCCGGAUUUAUUGGGCGUAAAGAGCGUGUAGGCGGCCAGACAAGUCUGCUGUGAAAACUCGAGGCUCAACCUCGAGCUGUCGGUGGAAACUGUCUGGCUAGAGUCCGGAAGAGGAGAGUGGAAUUCCUGGUGUAGCGGUGAAAUGCGCAGAUAUCAGGAAGAACACCUAUGGCGAAGGCAGCUCUCUGGAACGGUACUGACGCUGAGACGCGAAAGCGUGGGGAGCGAACAGG
rnacentral:rRNA from 1 species